rnacentral:rRNA from 1 species
AUUGAACGCUGACGGCAUGCCUUACACAUGCAAGUCGAACGGCAGCAUAGGAGCUUGCUCCUGAUGGCGAGUGGCGAACGGGUGAGUAAUAUAUCGGAACGUGCCCUAGAGUGGGGGAUAACUAGUCGAAAGACUAGCUAAUAUCGCAUACGAUCUACGGAUGAAAGGGGGGGUUCGCAAGACCUCAUGCUCCUGGAGCGGCCGAUAUCGGAUUAGCUAGUUGUUGGGGUAAAAGCCUACCAAGGCAACGAUCAGUACCUGGUUUGAUAGGACGAGCGGCCACACUGGGACUGAGACACGGCCCAGACUCCUACGGGAGUCAGCAGUGGGGAAUUUUGGACAAUGGGGGCAACCCUGAUCCAGCAAUGCCGCGUGAGUGAAGAAGGCCUUCGGGUUGUAAAGCUCUUUUGUCAGGGAAGAAACGGUAGUAGCGAAUAACUACUACUAAUGACGGUACCUGAAGAAUAAGCACCGGCUAACUACGUGCCAGCCGCCGCCGUAA